rnacentral:snoRNA from 1 species
AUCAUCAGUAGUGGUUAAUACUAUCUCAAGAUAAUAUUAAUUACAAUUACAUUAUAGAAACCUUAUAUCAUUUUUCUCUCUCAAUCUCCCAAUGUCGUGCAGGGGACUCUUGCGAGUCUUUCUAUAUGACACUAGUUAAUACUGGAUUGAGGUCUAAUUUGAUCAUUUUUUAACCCAUAGCUGAGUGUACCUUGACUAGCCCCAAACAGGCUAGGCACAAGGUUCACUUCGUUUCCGGUUUCUUAGAGCAAAGUUUAUGUGUUGAGGAAGGUCCCUCCUCUCGAGACAUCUCUUCGGGGAUGGACAUCGAUGUGGGAUUAGUUGUAUGUUUACAUUUUUGGAAAUGGUGUAAUACCAUAGCCUGUUGUAUUCCACUGUACCGCUUCCUCAAGAUAAUACAUUU